UUAAUGCAGCAACAGGGCAUGACAUCAAAUUUUCCACCGCCACCACAAUGGAGCCAAUUUGCAAACACACCAGUUCCACCACCACAGUUCACCACCCCUCCGACACAUAUACCUGCACCUGGAGAUAGGGUUACGCCCGAAGCGAGUGGUAGUGGAUCUGAUCCCGCAGCAGGGACUGGAUUUGUUGACUCGCUCUUCGCGUUCCCUCCUCCUGGUGGUGGUGGCGGCAGCGGUCAAAGCUCUAACCACCCAAGUGGUGGUUAUCUCUAAACACAUGAACAUGUUUCUUAACUCGUGGACUCUUGGUCGUACUUGAACAUACGUCGUACUUAUAUUUCAAUACUAUGUCGUACUCGUUGACUCGAUGUGGUGGUUGAACUUAUAUUUGAAAUGUUGGUGGAUGUUAUGUUUGUAAUGCGUGAUUUUAUUAUGAAUGCAUGUGUUUGUAA